rnacentral:rRNA from 1 species
CCCGCACAAGCGGCGGAGCAUGCGGAUUAAUUCGAUGCAACGCGAAGAACCUUACCAAGGCUUGACAUACACCGGUAACGCCCAGAGAUGGGUGCCCCUUUGUGGUCGGUGUACAGGUGGUGCAUGGGUUGUCGUCAGCUCGUGUCGUGAGAUGUUGGGUUAAGUCCCGCAACGAGCGCAACCCUCGUCCUAUGUUGCCAGCGGGUCAUGCCGGGGACUCAUGGGAGACUGCCGGGGUCAACUCGGAGGAAGUGGGGAUGACGUCAAAUCAUCAUGCCCCUUAUGUCUUGGGCUUCACGCAUGCUACAAUGGCCGGUACAAAGGGCUGCGAUACCGCGAGGUGGAGCGAAUCCCAGAAAGCCGGUCUCAGUUCGGAUUGGGGUCUGCAACUCGACCCCAUGAAGUCGGAGUCGCUAGUAAUCGCAGAUCAGCAACGCUGCGGUGAAUACGUUCCCGGGCCUU